rnacentral:ncRNA from 1 species
GUGUUCGAACAAAUAGGGAUGGUUAGCAUCUCCUGUAACAGGGAUGAGAUCAACCUUUAGGCUUAUGUGUUAAACUUGGUAAUUUAUGUCUUUUGUAUUUUAAUCAUAUCAUGUAAACAUAGAGUAUU